rnacentral:rRNA from 1 species
UACGUAGGGGGCGAGCGUUGUCCGGAUUUACUGGGCGUAAAAGGCUCGUAGGUGGCUCGCCCAGUCGGGCGUGAAAUCUCCUGGCUUAACUAGGAGAGGUCGUCCGAUACUAGCGGGCUCGAGGUCGGUAGAGGGAAGCGGAAUUCCGGGUGUAGUGGUGGAAUACGUAGAUAUCCGGAGGAACACCAGUGGCGAAGGCGGCUUCCUGGACCGGUUCUGACACUGAGGAGCGAAAGCGUGGGGAGCGAUCCGG